rnacentral:lncRNA from 1 species
UUUCUCCCUCCAUUCUCCUUCUCUCAUUUACCGAUUCUCCUCCUUCCUUUUCUCCACCCAUUCUCCUCCUCUCCUUUCUCUUCUCCUUCCUUCCCAUCCACUUCUCCUCAUCCUUCUCCUCCAAGCCGUCCAUAAACCAUCCCCUUACACGACGGCCUCCUCCAUCUUCAUCCCUUCUUGUCUUCCUCGUCUUCUUCCUCUCCAUUCUUUUCUCCUUCCCUUCUUUCUCUAUCUAUUCCUUGCCGACGGCCCCUCUCCCUUCCUCUUCUUUCUCCUCAUUCUCUUUGUCCUCAUCUUAUUUCUCCUCUAAACCAACCCAUAAGCUUAUCCCUUUAAAUGCCCCCCUCUAUAUUGCCCUUCC